UACAGAGGGUGCAAGCGUUAAUCGGAAUUACUGGGCGUAAAGCGUGCGCAGACGGUUGCGUAAGUCAGAUGUGAAAGCCCCGGGCUCAACCUGGGGAUUGCAUUUGAGACUGCGUAGCUAGGGUGCGGAAGAGGGAAGCGGAAUUUCCGGUGUAGCGGUGAAAUGCGUAGAUAUCGGAAGGAACACCAGUGGCGAAAGCGGCUUCCUGGUCCAGCACCGACGUUCAGGCACGAAAGCGUGGGGAGCAAACAGG
rnacentral:rRNA from 1 species